GUGAGGAAUAUUGGUCAAUGGGCGGGAGCCUGAACCAGCCAAGUCGCGUGAAGGAAGAAGGAUCUAUGGUUCGUAAACUUCUUUUGCAGGGGAAUAAAGUGCAGGACGUGUCCUGUUUUGUAUGUACCCUGAGAAUAAGGAUCGGCUAACUCCGUGCCAGCAGCCGCGGUAAUACGGAGGAUCCGAGCGUUAUCCGGAUUUAUUGGGUUUAAAGGCUGCGUAGGUGGUUUGAUAAGUCAGCGGUGAAAGUUUGCAGCUUAACUGUAAAAAUGCCGUUGAAGCUGUAGGAAUUGAGUGUAAAUGAGGUAGGCGGAAUGCGUGGUGUAGCGGUGAAAUGCAUAGAUAUCACGCAGAACUCCGAUUGCGAAGGCAGCUUACUAAGCUACAACUGACACUGAAGCACGAAAGCGUGGGGAUCAAACAGGAUUAGAAACCCCAGUAGUCC
rnacentral:rRNA from 1 species